UACGGCACUCUCUCUUUUCAACUCUGACCUAAGGAGUAAGUGAAUCCAUAGCAGGUGCUUUAAUAUAUUUUUGCAAGGGUUGAGCCAAAACCUUAAUUUAAUGUGUUUGAAGGUGGACCUAAGAUGCCAACACAACACGCGGAAUUCAUCCUAAAAAAAAAGGCAUUUUUCAUGUAUGUCAUUCUCAAGAGGCAAAGCUUUUCAAAGAACAGAAAGUCCAGAUCUGCUGAUGUACACAUCAAUGAAGGAUUGUGUCUCUACAUCACCCUGAAACAUACACAUCAUCACCUGCUCAUGUGUGCUGAGGCUAUGCGGUACCGAGAUGAAGAGAUGGGUGACUCAUACGCCUUUGCAGCUGCUGAUCACUCCAUUUGUCCAGAUCUAAGUUUCUGUUUUAGGUAAGUAAUAGUAAAACAUACAAUUGAAUGUGAUCACUAUUAUUAAGUGAAAGAUUCUGUGAAAAUUGUGGUAAUGUACGUGAUAUAAUGUACUAAAUCCUGUGUAUAAUUGUAAUUUCAGGCUUUAUUACAAAAUUUUCCAGUGGUCGUACG
rnacentral:lncRNA from 1 species